UCCGGUUCAUCACCAGCAGUCUCUUUAGAGUCCCCAGCAUUACCUGAUGGCAACUAAAGAUAAGGGUUGCGCUCGUUACGGGACUUAACCCAACAUCUCACAACACGAGCUGACGACAGCCAUGCAGCACCUGUCUCAGAGUUCCUUUCGGCACUUCCACAUCUCUGCAGAAUUCUCUGGAUGUCAAGGGUAGGUAAGGUUCUUCGCGUUGCGUCGAAUUAAACCACAUGCUCCACCGCUUGUGCGGGCCCCCGUCAAUUUCUUUGAGUUUUAAUCUUGCGACCGUACUCCCCAGGCGGAAAACUUAUCGCGUUAGCUUCGAUACUAAUAGGUCUUAGCCUACCAACAUCUAGUUUUCAUCGUUUACAGCGUGGACUAC
rnacentral:misc_RNA from 1 species